rnacentral:rRNA from 1 species
AUGGCAACUUGCUUAUCUGACCUAAUUAGAGACUACUGCCUAGAUUUUAUUGGCAUUCAGGAAACAAUGAAAAAGGAUUUUUCCUCUAAAUUCUUGAGGAAAAUUGAUCCUGGACAGUAUUUUGAUUGGAGAUGGAUCCCUUCACUAGGCAAGUCUGGAGGAAUUCUGUGUGGUACUAAGGAGGAUACCUUUGAGGUGAGAUCAUAUGAGACAGGCAAAUAUAUCAUGAAACUGGAAUUAUGGUAUAAGAGGAAAAAAAUGUUGUAUUGUAUACUGGUAGUAUAUGGAUCUGCUCAUGAAGAGUAUAAGAUGGAAUUUUUGACUGAGUUAUUUGACAUGUGUGGCAAUAUAACUCGCCCUUAG